rnacentral:rRNA from 1 species
UCCGGUUGAUCCUGCCGGAGGCCACCCCUAUGGGGGUCCGACUAAGCCAUGCGAGUCAUGGGGCGCCUUCCUUUCACCGGCGGACGGCUCAGUAACACGUCGGUAACCUACCCUCGGGAGGGGGAUAACCCCGGGAAACUGGGGCUAAUCCCCCAUAGGCCUGAGGUACUGGAAGGUCCUCAGGCCGAAAGGGGCUCUGCCCGCCCGAGGAUGGGCCGGCGGCCGAUUAGGUAGUUGGUGGGGUAACGGCCCACCAAGCCGAAGAUCGGUACGGGCCAUGAGAGUGGGAGCCCGGAGAUGGACACUAAAACACGGGUCCUGGCCCUACGGGGCGCAACAGGCGCGAAACCUCCGCAAUGCGGGAAACCGCGACGGG